UCCCACGUGGUCUAGUGGUUAGGAUACCUGGCUCUCACCCAGGAGGCCUGGGUUCGAUUCCCGGCGUGGGAA
rnacentral:tRNA from 1 species